GGGUAAAAAUGGACCCCAAGAGCGCAAAAUCCUCGCCGGGAAAACGCUGCAACUACGACGCCGACCGGCGUUUCCGGUGAGCAACGUCGUUAUUCCAUCUUCCGGUGGGCGUUUUUUGGCCGGCGCUGUUGUAACAGAGUGUUCACCUGGUUCUUCAGGACAAAUUCUCCAUUUCUGUUCAGGCUGAGGGAGACGGUAUGCAUUGAAAUGAACAAACAACGAAUUACAAGAUGAAGAUAGUUACUUACAAUGUCAAUGGUCUUAGGCCACGCAUCGCACAGUAUGGUUCACUCCUUAAGUUGCUCGAUUCCUUCGAUGCCGAUAUUAUCUGCUUUCAGGAAACGAAAUUAAGGAGGCAGGAAUUGCGAGCGGAUUUAAUCAUUGCUGAUGGUUAUGAAUCAUUCGUUUCAUGCACUCGUACCUCUGAGAAAGGUCGAACCGGCUACUCAGGGGUUGCUACGUUUUGCCGAGUUAAGUCAGCAUUUUCAAGUAAUGAAGUAGCCUUGCCAGUUCGGGCGGAGGAAGGCUUCACUGGACUUUUAGAAAGUUCGCACAAAGGAGAAGGUACAAUGCCUGCAAUUGCAGAAGGGCUUGAGGAAUUUUCGAAAGAGGAGCUCCUCAAAGUUGACAGAGAGGGGCGUUGUAUUGUCACAGAUCAUGGUCAUUUUGUUCUCUUCAAUAUUUAUGGACCUCGAGCUCAAAGUGAUGAUACAGAAAGGGUUCUAUUUAAGUCAAACUUUUACAAUAUACUACAGAAAAGAUGGGAGCAUCUUCUGCGUCAAGGAAAAAGGAUAUUUGUUGUUGGUGAUCUUAAUAUUGCACCCACGUCUAUGGAUCGUUGUGAUGCAGGACCAGAUUUUGAGAAUAAUGAGUUUCGGAGAUGGCUGAGAUCUUUACUGGUGGGAUAUGGUGGUCAUUUCACUGACAUUUUCAGAUCGAAACAUCCCGAUCGAAAAGAUGCAUAUACAUGCUGGCCUCAAAGUACAGGUGCCGAAGUAUUCAAUUAUGGGACAAGGAUUGACCAUAUUUUGUGUGCUGGACCAUGCUUACAUCCGGACAGCAACUUGCCAAGCCAUGAUAUUGUGAAUUGCCAUGUUCUGGAAUGUGACAUACUGUCACAGUAUAAACGCUGGAAAGAUGGAAAUUCAUUUAGGUGGAAAGGAGAGCAGACCGUUAAACUAGAAGGUUCUGAUCAUGCACCCGUUUAUGCAAGUCUACUGGAAAUCCCUGAUACCCCUCAACAUAGUACUCCAUCUUUAUCUGCAAGAUACAAUCCCAAGAUUCACGGGCUUCAGCAAACGCUUGUAUCUAUGCUACUGAAAAGACAAGCUGCUGAAGGUUCAGCAACAUGCAAGAUAUCAAAUUCAUUUUCACGUGGGAACGUCGUCUUAGGGAAUUGUUCCCAGGGGCUCAAUGGAUCAUUUGAUAAUGGUGAUUUAUCAGGCCUUCUUCCUGGUGAAUCAUGUUCCUCGACAGACAUAGAAACUGAAGAUUCUCUAUUAAAAACAGAAGAGAGUUCUGGUGGAGGCUAUUCUGAGGAAGCUCCAUGUAACACCUUAAUUACGCACGAGUCUCUACAUACAAAAACAUUACCUGAGAAUGAAACUAGGAAAAGAGUAAGAAGGAGUUCCCAGAUGUCAUUAAAGUCGUUCUUCCAGAAGAACUCGGUUAUUAGCAACGUUGCUGACAGCUCUAAUGCUAAUUCUUCAACUAACAAACCAGAUACCUCCGAAUCUAAUCCUAUUGAAAUUCCUAGAUCAGAUACUCAUAUUACCGAUUCAGGGAAAUAUUUAGAAGAAAACCCGGAUCAGUCUCAUAUCAAUGCAUCUUCUGUAGAGAGAGAGAAGAGUGGCGUUGCCUUAUUGGAGUGGCGGAGGAUACAGCAGGUUAUGCAGAAUAGCAUACCUCUUUGCAAGCGCCAUAAGGAACCUUGUGUUGCUCGAGUAGUUAAGAAACAAGGUCCUAAUAAUGGCCGAAGAUUUUAUGUUUGUGCCCGUGCUGAGGGUCCCGCAUCGAAUCCUGAAGCAAAUUGUGGUUACUUUAAAUGGGCGGUUUCCAAAUCUCGGCAUAACUGAAGAUGGUAGUUGCUGGCUUCGUAAUACAAACUUGGCCAUAUUCAUUCCUUGUCUUCCACAUUCCACCAGUAUUCAGUUAUGUAUCUCUUCAUGGAUGGCUGAGUCACUGACCGUCAGUUUUGAAAUUAUGAUCCAACUACCCUGGCUUUGCAAUGGCUAGUUAAAAAGCAGAAAUUAUGAUCUAACUUAUCUGCAAUUGGCAUAGUGACGAUUGUUUGCAAUAUGGAUCCUCCUAUGCUCUUUGAACAAAGUUGCUGGGUGGUUUGCUGAUAGAAGUGUCAGGGAAAGCUAAAGAGUAAAUUAGGAGCCUUUGCAUGCAUAUUCUGUUGAGAACCUCAAUGAAGAGAUGAGCCUUAAAACAUUUCUCCUCCCCUCUUCACACACUGAUUAAGAACCAUGAAUUCAGUAGAAGAUCUCCAUUUCGACGCGCUUUCGACGUCAAUUGAACCUUUCUCCUUCCUCUAAACCUCCCACAUCACAUGUAGCCACUUGUUGAUGAUGAAAGUCCUAUAUCGGCUAAUUUAGGGAAUGAUCAUGAGUUUAUAAUCAAAUAAUAUUCUCCA